rnacentral:rRNA from 1 species
AUGAAACACUCCUACGGGAGGCAGCAGUGGGGAAUAUUGCGCAAUGGGGGCAACCCUGACGCAGCCAUGCCGCGUGAAUGAAGAGGGCCUUCGGGUUGUAAAGUUCUUUCGGUAGCGAGGAAGGCAUUUAGUUUAAUAGACUAGGUGAUUGACGUUAACUACAGAAGAAGCACCGGCUAACUCCGUGCCAGCAGCCGCGGUAAUACGGAGGGUGCAAGCGUUAAUCGGAAUAACUGGGCGUAAAGGGCACGCAGGCGGUGACUUAAGUGAGGUGUGAAAGCCCCGGGCUUAACCUGGGAAUUGCAUUUCAUACUGGGUCGCUAGAGUACUUUAGGGAGGGGUAGAAUUCCACGUGUAGCGGUGAAAUGCGUAGAGAUGUGGAGGAAUACCGAAGGCGAAGGCAGCCCCUUGGGAAUGUACUGACGCUCAUGUGCGAAAGCGUGGGGAGCAAACAGGAUUAGAAACCCCAGUAGUCCGAAGUUC